CAGUGUAGGAUUUUGGAGGUCCUUCCUCCAUCACAUCAUCAAAAUGGUUUUGCUAAUGGACAUGUCAGCAAUGUAGAUGGAGAAACUAUUAUCAUUAGUGAUAGUGAUGAUUCAGAAACACAAAACAGUUCUUUUCAAAACGGGAAGAAAAAAAAUACAAUUGAUCCUUUAUUAUUCAAGUACAAGGUGCAACCCACUAGAAAAGAAUUGUAUGAGUGUACUAUUGUUAAAGCAACACAAAUCAGCCGGAGAAAACAUCUAUUUUCUCGUGAUAAACUAAAGCUUUUUCUGAAGCAACACUGUGAACCACAAGAUGGAAUC